UAGGGAAUCUUCCGCAAUGGACGAAAGUCUGACGGAGCAACGCCGCGUGAGUGAUGAAGGCUUUCGGGUCGUAAAACUCUGUUGUUAGGGAAGAACAAGUACAAGAGUAACUGCUUGUACCUUGACGGUACCUAACCAGAAAGCCACGGCUAACUACGUGCCAGCAGCCGCGGUAAUACGUAGGUGGCAAGCGUUAUCCGGAAUUAUUGGGCGUAAAGCGCGCGCAGGCGGUUUCUUAAGUCUGAUGUGAAAGCCCACGGCUCAACCGUGGAGGGUCAUUGGAAACUGGGGAACUUGAGUGCAGAAGAGAAAAGCGGAAUUCCACGUGUAGCGGUGAAAUGCGUAGAGAUGUGGAGGAACACCAGUGGCGAAGGCGGCUUUUUGGUCUGUAACUGACGCUGAGGCGCGAAAGCGUGGGGAGCAAACAGGAUUAGAUACCCUGGUAGUCCACGCCGUAAACGAUGAGUGCUAAGUGUUAGAGGGUUUCCGCCCUUUAGUGCUGCAGCUAACGCAUUAAGCACUCCGCCUGGGGAGUACGGUCGCAAGACUG
rnacentral:rRNA from 1 species